AUGCUUGCACCCUUGUUCCAAGAGUAUUUGCAGUUCUAUUCUUGGUUGUUCGUUGCACAAGAAGCUACCCUCGAAGCUGCUCUGUGUGUGAAGGAAGCUCAGAAACAGUGUUUUCUUGAGGAAACAGAGCAUGAUUGUGGAUCUUUUCAAAAUGGUCUGGAUGAGAGUGAUUGGCUUGCUGAAUUGACUGAGAUUGGAAUGCUUGACGUAUUCGAAGAUGUUGGCCUCUCUACUGUUCAAACAACUUGUUCGUCUCAAGGCAACAACGCAACUGACUUGGAACAACGUUGA
rnacentral:rRNA from 1 species